rnacentral:rRNA from 1 species
AGCAGUAGCCACGGUAAUACAGAGGGUGCGAGCGUUAAUCGGAUUUACUGGGCGUAAAGCGUGCGUAGGCGGCUUUUUAAGUCGGAUGUGAAAUCCCUGAGCUUAACUUAGGAAUUGCAUUCGAUACUGGGAAGCUAGAGUAUGGGAGAGGAUGGUAGAAUUCCAGGUGUAGCGGUGAAAUGCGUAGAGAUCUGGAGGAAUACCGAUGGCGAAGGCAGCCAUCUGGCCUAAUACUGACGCUGAGGUACGAAAGCAUGGGGAGCAAACAGGAUUAGAUACCCCCGUAGUCCCUGUCUCUUAUAU